UAUGGUCCUUCGGGGACAGGGGAGGACAGGUGGUGCAUGGUUGUCGUCAGCUCGUGUCGUGAGAUGUUGGGUUAAGUCCCGCAACGAGCGCAACCCUUGUGUUUAGUUGCCAACAGGUUUAAAGCUGUGCACUCUAAACAGACUGCCGUGGAUAACACGGAGGAAGGUGGGGAUGACGUCAAAUCAUCAUGCCCCUUAUGAUCUGGGCUACACACGUGCUACAAUGGUCGGUACAACGGGCAGCGAACCCGCGAGGGGGAGCCAAUCCCAAAAAGCCGCUCUCAGUUCGGAUUGCAGGCUGCAACUCGCCUGCAUGAAGCCGGAAUCGCUAGUAAUCGCGGAUCAGCAUGCCGCGGUGAAUACGUUCCCGGGCCUU
rnacentral:rRNA from 1 species